CCUACGGGAUGCAGCUGUGAGGAAUAUUGGUCAAUGGACGAGAGUCUGAACCAGCCAAGUAGCGUGAAGGAUGACUGUCCUAUGGGUUGUAAACCUCUUUUAUAAAGGAAUAAAACGAGGCACGCGUGCCUUUUCGCAUGUACUUUAUGAAUAAGGAUCGGCUAACUCCGUGCCAGCAGCCGCGGUAAUACGGAGGAUCCGAGCGUUAUCCGGAUUUAUUGGGUUUAAAGGGAGCGUAGAUGGGAGGUUAAGUCAGUUGUGAAAGUUUGCGGCUCAACCCUAAAAUUGAAAUUGAUAAUGGCAGUCUUGAGUGCAGUUGAGGUAGGAGGAAUGCGUGGUGUAGCGGUGAAAUGCUUAGAUAUCACGAAGAACCCCGAUUGCGAAGGCAGCUUACUAAACUGUGACUGACAUUGAUGCUCGAAAGUGUGGGUAUCAAACAGGAUUAGAUACCCGUGUAGUC
rnacentral:rRNA from 1 species